AUAUCAAUAAGCGGAGGAAAAGAAACCAACAGGGAUUGCCCUAGUAACGGCGAGUGAAGCGGCAAUAGCUCAAAUUUGAAAUCUGGCUUCCUUUUUUAUAGGGGUCCGAGUUGUAAUUUGCAGAGGAUGCUUUUGGCACAGCACUGAACAAGUUCCCUGGAACGGGACGCCACAGAGGGUGAGAGCCCCGUCUGGUCAGACGCCUAGCCUCUAUAAAGCUCCUUCAACGAGUCGAGUAGUUUGGGAAUGCUGCUCAAAUUGGGAGGUAUAUGUCUUCUAAAGCUAAAUACCGGCUAGAGACCGAUAGCGCACAAGUAGAGUGAUCGAAAGAUGAAAAGCACUUUGAAAAGAGGGUUAAAUAGUACGUGAAAUUGCUAAAAGGGAAGCGCUUACAACUAGACGUAGGGGUAUUCAAUCACCUAGUGUUUUUUACUAGGGCAUUUGGGUAUAUUUCCUAGGCUAGCAUCGGUUUGCUAUGGGGGAGAAAGACGCUAGGAAUGUAGCCCCCCUCGGGGGGUGUUAUAGCCUAGUGUGUAAUGCCCUGUAGCAGACCGAGGUCUGCGCAUUUUACUGCAAGGAUGCUGGCGUAAUAGUUGUUAGCGACCCGUCUUGAAACACGGACCAAGGAGUCGUCCUCGUAUGCGAGUAUUUGGGUGUAAAACCCCUGUGCGAAAUGAAAGUGAACGUAGGUGAGAGCCUGUAAUAUGGUGCAUCACCGACCGAUCCUGAUGUUCUCGGAUGGAUUUGAGUAAGAGCAUACGGGGCCGGACCCGAAAGAAGGUGAACUAUGCCUGCGUAGGGUGAAGCCAGAGGAAACUCUGGUGGAGGCUCGCAGCGGUUCUGACGUGCAAAUCGAUCGUCAAACGUGGGCAUGGGGGCGAAAGACUAAUCGAACCUUCUAGUAGCUGGUUUCCGCC
rnacentral:rRNA from 1 species